rnacentral:rRNA from 1 species
CCUUAGUGGAGUAACCUAGCCGAAAGGACAGACUAAUAUCGCAUAGUACUUCGAUGACGGCAUCAGAUUUGAAGUAAAGAGUUUAUCGGUAAUGGAUGGGGAUGCGUCUGAUUAGCUGUUGCGGGUAAGGCCCACCAAGGCGACGAUCAGUAGGGGUUCUGAGAGGAAGGUCCCCCACAUUGGAACUGAGACACGGUCCAAACUCCUACGGGAGGCAGCAGUGAGGAAUAUUGGGUCAAUGGACGGAAGUCUGAACCAGCCAAGUAGCGUGCAGGAUGACGGCCCUAUGGGUUGUAAACUGCUUUUGUAUGGGGAUAAAGUUAGGGACGUGUCCCUAUUUGCAGGUACCAUACGAAUAAGCACCGGCUAACUACGUGCCAGCAGCCGCGGUGAUACGUAGGGUGCGAGCGUUGUCCGGAUUUAUUGGGCGUAAAGGGCUCGUAGGUGGUUGAUCGCGUCGGAAGUGUAAUCUUGGGGCUUAACCCUGAGCGUGCUUUCGAUACGGGUUGACUUGAGGAAGGUAGGGGAGAAUGGAAUUCCUGGUGGAGCGGUGGAAU